UACGAAGGUGGCAAGCGUUGUUCGGAUUCACUGGGCGUACAGGGUGUGUAGGCGGUUUGGUAAGCCUUCUGUUAAAGCUUCGGGCCCAACCCGGAAAGCGCAGAGGGUACUGCCAGGCUAGAGGACGGGAGAGGAGCGCGGAAUUCCCGGUGUAGCGGUGAAAUUCGUAGAUAUCAGGAAGAACACCUAUGGCGAAGGCAGCACUCUGGGACGGUACUGACGCUGAGACGCGAAAGCGUGGGGAGCGAACGGG
rnacentral:rRNA from 1 species